UUUAAUUGAAGAGUUUGAUCAUGGCUCAGAUUGAACGCUGGCGGCAGGCCUAACACAUGCAAGUCGGGCGGUAACAGGGAGAAGCUUGCUUCUCUGCUGACGAGCGGCGGACGGGUGAGUAAUGUAUGGGGAUCUGCCUGAUGGAGGGGGAUAACUACUGGAAACGGUAGCUAAUACCGCAUAAUGUCUCCGGACCAAAGCGGGGGACCU
rnacentral:rRNA from 1 species